ACUUAAGAAGCUUAAUACUGUGAGCGUCACAUUGAAGCUGUGGAGGAGGCGGGUUCGCCCUUGAGUG
rnacentral:tRNA from 1 species